rnacentral:tRNA from 1 species
GGCCAGUUAGCUCAGUCGGUUAGAGCUUGGUGCUGGUAACACCAAGCCCACGGGUUCGAUCCCUGUUCAGUCCC